rnacentral:lncRNA from 1 species
AUGGCUGGAACCCGCUCUUGCCAGUCUGUUGUUACCUGUCAAAUGCUGUUUAUCUGGACAUCAACACAGCUUCAACACUUCCUCCAUCCUAGUGUCUCAAGAGAGAGGCUCUGUGAUGUCAGCUCAGCCUUGAGCCCAGGCCCCACCUUGGCUGACCAAGCUGAGUCCUCUCGCUCCAGCUUUCUGACAGUUUACAGUUUUAGGUGCUGCCUAAAUGGAGCCUCUCAGGAGUUGGCUGGGCCACAAAAGUGUGCUGUGCUGGAGAAACCACCAGGAAGUGUGCUGACUGGUGCCACCCACCGAGGCCACUGUUUUCGAGGCCCACGGAGAGGAUGAAGAACUAGCUGUGCCGCGUGACGGAGGUUUAACCUCAGGACAUGGUGCCUGGAUGAGAGGUCCUGCUCCCUAUGUAGACAGUGCUGAGUGAGACUGUCCACACUCACCACCAUGGAGGUGGGAAGUGGAUUACAAACCCCUGUGCACAGGGUGCACACGGGCCACAGCUCCUUCCCCACUGCACACAGAUGUCCAGAACAUUACCUGGUAGCCUCUUUCAUAUUACAAACUUCUGGAGGAAGAGAUGAAAAAUUUCAAAUUUGCUCUGCAGAACAAAAAUUGUCCCUUUAAAGAUGAAUGUGCAGCUGUGCCCAGUGCUGAUGGAGUCAUAGCACAGACCAGGGAUUAGUAAACGGUGUGUGCCCCAUUAAGACUAAACAAGCCCCUGCUCAUUAGAGCCCUAAUUGCAGUGGUUAUAUCAAAGCCCCACAGACCUCACCAGUGUCUAGUUCAGCUCUGUGUGUUACAUAGGUGCCUGGCGUCAUCUUCCCACCUGCUGAAAUGAAAGAUUCUUGGAAUAUCCAUGUGUGUAAAACAUGUUUGUGAUGCAAAUAUGAAGGUACCCUUUCAUCCCGUCCCCACUUUGAUGUCAUGGUAGGAGACUCUUGGUGCCCUCUGCUUCCAGACAUGGACUGAGAUGUUAUCUGGUUUGCAGACCUGCAGGCCUUGUGCCAGUACGGGAACAGGUGACAAGAUUUCUCUUCAUCCAAGGUUUUUAUGAGGGAUGUAUCCACUUCUCAAUUAAUAGAGAUAAGAAGAUGUGGACACAUCUUUCUUUAAGGUUUAGAAUGACAACUCCUGCAUCCAGGUUGGGGGCGGGCAGCAAAACUUAGAUCAGGGAAGUGGAAUUCAGGUGAUGAUGCAAGGCAUUUGGCAUGGGGUCUCUGGCAUGUGGGAAUGCUGUGAGGAUUUUCCUCCCUGAGACAGGCCAGUGGGCUCCUCUCCUGAGGCGUGUAGGUAGGAAAGAUGCAUCUCAUCUUAAUAGUUUAAUUUAAAUUUAAAAGCUCAGUUUUUCUCUAUGCCAGAUGCCUAGGUCUUAAUUUUUGGUUAGGAUCUCCCAAAUUUUGAACACUGUGACACCGAGAUCUUGCAGUAAACACUUAGACAAUAAUAAUUAAAAGCCCUCUGGGGCUGGGGCUGAACCAGGUUUGCACAAAAUGCUCCCAGGCACUGUUAACAGGGCACUCAUCAGAACCAAGGAUCUGCUGAGUUAUGUUGUCAUGUUAUUUUCCUUGUUUAAAAAUAGAGUCAUUAUUCAAUGACUUCUAAGCACAUGUGCAUAAAGAAGCCUAAAUUUCUCAAACAAGAAUCAAUUAGAAACCACAGUUGAUAUGUUAUUUUUGUUCAUUAGAGAAUCUUUGAAUGAGUAAAUUUAAAGUGCAUAAAACUUCUAUAAAGAUACCUCAAAAUUUAGUUUUGUCCAUGUCAUCUUGCAUUGAAACAGCUGCUAAAGUGUGUGACCAAAGGGGAAGAGUUAAAAGACAAAUAUUGUAAGACAGACUAAAACCUGACAGUGGAAAAUUUAAACUCACUAGAAAUUUGCUCUCAAACUAUCUCCUUCAUUUUCAAAUCCAG